UACGGAAGGCAGCAGUGGGGAAUAUUGCACAAUGGGCGAAAGCCUGAUGCAGCUAUGCCGCGUGUAUGAAGAAGGCCUUAGGGUUGUAAAGUACUUUCAUCGGGGAGGAAAAACAAACUAAUAAUUUUAUUUCUUGACGUUACCCGAAAAAGAAGCACCGGCUAACUCCGUGCCAGCAGCCGCGGUAAUACGGAGGGUGCUAGCGUUAAUCAGAAUUACUGGGCGUAAAGAGCACGUAGGUGGUUUUUUUAAGUCAGACGUGAAAUCCCUGGGCUUAACCUAGGAACUGCAUUUUGAAACUGAAAUACUAGAGUAUCGUAGAGGGAGGUAGAAUUCUAGGUGUAGCGGUGAAAUGCGUAGAUAUCUGGAGGAAUACCUGUGGCGAAAGCGGCCUCCUAAACGAAUACUGACACUGAGGGUGCGAAAGCGUGGGGAGCAAACAGGGAUUAGAUACC
rnacentral:rRNA from 1 species